rnacentral:tmRNA from 1 species
GGGGGCGACUGGUAUUGACAGCGGGUUGGGAUUCUGUGUGUAAGCAUGUCGGGAGUUGAGGGUACCUCCCGUUAAUCAAUGCCUUUCAAACAAUAACUGGCGAAUCUAACUACGCCAUGGCUGCCUAAUCCGGAGGAUUUAGCAAAUGCCAUCAUCCCUCCACCCUACGUGCUGCCGGGUGGAUCAAGGGGUGUCGAAACGCAGCGCUGGUUGGAAUAGUGGUACGAAAACCCAACGAGACACUAGUACCUAAGGCCAAGACGCGGGUCCGCCCUGAACCUAGUCUGGCUCGAAAAUCUAAUCGGGGAUAAGCAUGUAGAAGGCACAGGGUUUCCCUGUUCUGGACGAGGGUUCGAAUCCCUCCGUCUCCACAA